AAAUGCAGUGAUGGAGGGCUGCUUGAGGGCCUGAGAAAUCCCAGAGAAGGAGCCCCCAUCCCAGCCUGGGAGGGUCCAGGGUGAUAUCUGGGCUAAGUCACCUUCUCUUCUCCUCUUGGGUAAAUGUGCAUCUGGCUCUGCGUGGGGCCAGCCCCUCUCAGGAGCAGUGUCUGUCCUCAAAGGGGCUGGAGCUGAUGCCCAUGCCACCUCCCAGUGUCAUGCCUGGCCUGCCUACUGUAAACUUUAUUUCUUUUCCUCUCCUGCGUAAAAACAAGCCUGAAGACUGAAGGCAGCAAAGUGAUUGAUGAGGAGGAAGCAGGGGUCACGGGCAUCAGCGGUCCAGGGAAGGAAGCAAAGCAAAUGGAGAAUGGCAUGCUGGUGAUGGACAGUGCAGGGAAGCAACUGCAGAGACAGCUCAGCAGCUCCUCCUCCUAUAGCGGGGACAUCAGCAGGCAGCACAACAGCACCGCAGAACUGCAGAAAGCUGGGGCCAAGAAGGAGGAGACCUGGAAGCUGAUGGAGGCUGACAAGGCGCAGACAG
rnacentral:sRNA from 1 species